ensembl:lncRNA
GAAGAGAACAGCGCUCUCUCUCUCUCUGUCUCUCCCUCAGUCACUCAGGUUCGCGGGUCUUUUCCGUUAACGUUUAGGUGUUCUUCAGCUUCAGGUGUGAAGUCAGUUUGUCAUUAUGGAGAACAGAGAGAGCGGAGAGAGAUCUUCAUCUUCAUCAAGUCACACACUCAUCCACAAACUGAUCAAGAGUCUGUUUCCACUGUUAGUGAACCACACACUGACUCACCAUUACAGCUGCAGCUGACCAGCAUUUACAGAAUGGAUUCAUCUGUUGAUUAUUUCUUUGACUCAGUUGAAAAUGAUGAAUUAUGAAAUUGUAUGUAUUUUUUACAUUCAAGUAAUAACUGCUGUUAGUGAUAAGACUGGGUGCAUAUUUAAUGGCAAAAACAUUUGAGCAGACAGUAAUUGAUCAGACAAGUGUCCCUCAUUCAGAAGAUGAAUCUCUGUCAUCAGCUGUGUUUCAGCCAAGCCCAGGCUCGGUUCUACAGGGCUUCAAACCAUAGCAAAAGCACCCUCACGUGAAGCUGUAAUAAUAGCAUACUGGAGAAAGAGAUCUGGUAAACUAUCACCUGAACAUCUACAAGCUCUGGUUCAUCAGACUACUCCUAUAUAAACCUAGAGACUGAGAUUUAUUACCAACUAAUCUAUAUCAAGUUAAUU